ensembl:lncRNA
GGGUUACCAGGCUUAAAGGGAGACAAGGGCAACAUGGGGGAAAGAGGAGAAAAGGGUUUCCGGGGCUUUAAGGGUGAAAAGGGUGAGCCAGGUCAGCCUGGCCUGGAUGGCCUGGAUGCCCCGUGCCAAUUGGGUCCAGAUGGACUCCCAAUGCCUGGAUGUUGGCAGAAGGGUGUCACACCUUGGCUGGUGGCUUGAGAAAGUAAGAAUUGUGAUUGAUUGCUGGAUUUCUUUAUUGCAAAGAGGUCAGUGUGGCAACUGGCCCUCCUGCGCCUCGGGGUUGCUGUUGUGUAACUCUCACCUUGUAAUGAGAGUGACAACUUAAAGACUCAAAUUAUGGAACUAGUAGGACACAAGAUGCAUCCACCAUCUGUGGCCGCUCGAGAGUAAUCAGGCAACUGAAACUCAGAAAUCUUUAUUAUUGGAUGGUGUAUGUGAUGCAUGGAAAGUUGCUACAUUCAUCCCUCUUCAUCAACCAAUCUGCAAACCUUAUUUUGUUCACUCUUCGGUGGAGUUCUUUUUGUAGUAGUGAGCUACACAGUCUGAUCUACAGCAGGAUGCCAUCUUUUUCAUCAUGAUGUUUUUUUUUUUUUUUUUUUUUUUUUUUUUUUUUUUUUUUUUUUGAUUUGCUCAUUUUGUGUAUUAUAGCCUUUGUGCCUAAAGUCAUUUGUUAUUCAUUCCUUUGUUGGAAAUAUUUACUACUACUCUAUGCUAUGAGUUGUAAAUAUGACAUUUUAGUGCAUUCUUUUGCAGCUAUAUUAAGGUUAAAAAUGCUGUUUAUGUAUUGUUGGAGCUCAAAGUUUUACAUUCUCAAAGACUUUCAUAGGGUGUCAAAGGAAAAUUUGACAAAUGGGACAUACUGUGGUUUUGUGGUAUUGCUAUUCUGAGUAACCAUAACAACAGCAUUCUAAAGCAAUCAGUAACAGUAAUAAGAAUCAAAUACAGUGUUAAUGUACAGUACAAGGUGCAAAUAUACAGCAGUCAUUGGGAGCCUUAAUCCUAAAUCAGCAGUGAUUAUCAUCAGCCAGCACUGCUACAUUCCAGAGUGCAAAAUUGCAUAAUUUUGUUGAUUUUAUUUUUACAGCUUUAAAACCAUUUUGACCAUUACUUUCUUAACAGGCUUCAGACACAGUAGAUACAUUAAAACAUAUAAAGUAUGAUCACAGCACUGCUGGUGUUAUAAUGUGUUUUCUGGCUGGAGGUGGCAGGAUUAUGGUCCUGAUUUUCUCAACCUCUAAUGGGCAUUUAAGAUCAUAAAAACAUAGUUAUACUGAAAGUAGUUUUGUAUGUGCUGAAUUUAAAAGUUAUUCAUAAGGAAGGGUAAG